UACAGAGGUGGCAAGCGUUGUUCGGAAUUACUGGGCGUAAAGCGCGCGUAGGCGGCUUUGUAAGUUAGAGGUGAAAGCCCGGAGCUCAACUUCGGAAUUGCCUUUAAGACUGCAUCGCUUGAAUCAUGGAGAGGUCAGUGGAAUUCCGAGUGUAGAGGUGAAAUUCGUAGAUAUUCGGAAGAACACCAGUGGCGAAGGCGACUGACUGGACAUGUAUUGACGCUGAGGUGCGAAAGCGUGGGGAGCAAACAGG
rnacentral:rRNA from 1 species